UACGAAGGGGGCUAGCGUUGCUCGGAUUUACUGGGCGUAAAGGGCGCGUAGGCGGAUUUCUAAGUCGGGGGUGAAAGCCCAGGGCUCAACCCUGGAAUUGCCUUCGAUACUGGAAGUCUUGAGUACGGGAGAGGUGAGUGGAACUCCGAGUGUAGAGGUGAAAUUCGUAGAUAUUCGCAAGAACACCGGUGGCGAAGGCGGCGACCUGGUCCUUUACUGACGCUGAGGCGCGAAAGCGUGGGGAGCAAACAGG
rnacentral:rRNA from 1 species